ACACGCAUGUCUCUAGAAGAAAAAAAAAUCUCCAUCCGCGCUCUACAUCGCCAGUCGUACUCCCCGCGUCGGAUUCCCUGUGUGCUCCCCUGCGUGCUCCAUCGCGCCGCCACCCAGAGUCCUUCCCCAACGCCGCCCUCUCCCUCUCGGCGCCCUGCUGGCCGGCGCUCCCUCCAGCCCCUCCCCAUGGCCGAGCGCAUCUCCAUGGUGGUCAGGAGCUUGUCCCAUGGCUGAGCUCCCUCUCCAUGGUCGCGCUCCUCCCCUGCUCCAUCCAUGGCUGCCGUCGAGUCUCCCUGGACGGGCUCAAGUGCCAUACGCCGUCGGCUCUAGUCUCCAGCUCGCCUAGGUCGGUGUUCCUCUCCCUCUCCUAAUCUCCAUGGCCGCUGGCGCUCUUGCUCGGGUCCAUGGUCGCGACUCGAGUCACCCCUUUGUGCUGGCCGACCAUCCAGCCAUGGUGGCGCGCACCCUUGCUUCCUACUCCACUCGGCGCCCCCUGCUCUUCCCCUGGUCGCCCAUGGCGCCCGGCCGCCCCUUCUCUCUCUGCUCCAGCGUGUGACGGCGUCGAGCUCCCUUCGUCACGCCCUUCCUUGCUCCUCCCAGGCCCAACCAUGGAGCUCACCCACGACGCCCGUCGUCCUACCUACUCGAGCUCGCCCUCUCCUCAUCUUCCAGCCGCCUCUGCUCACCUCCCUCAUCUCCCUCGGGUCCAGCGCGCUCUCUCCCUGGCUCGGGUGCCGGUCGCCGUCAUGGAGUUUUGUUUGGUCGGCUCAUCGUUGACCUCGCCAGUGCCGUCGAACCCCAUCCUCCCCUGCUCGACCUCGUCGUCGUUCCUCAGCUUCACGCCGACCUCUAGCCCGCCAUAGAGCUUCCCUGCGACGCGCCUCCAUGUCCAAGGCCAGCUUGGCCUCCUCCCUAGCGCUCUUGGACCCGACGUCCCCAGUCUAUCACGCCAUACUCAGAUCUCGCCGACUGACUUCCACCAUCCACCAUGCUGUGUGCUGGCAUUCCCUCGCGGCAGACCACACCGUCGUCUAACCUUGUUCACUUCGCUGCAGCACCAUCGUCAUCUGCCAGCUCCAUCAUCGGUCGUUCCUAGUAUUUUCCCCAACACCGAGCCUCUCUGACCUCGCUGCUCGUCGGUGCAAUUUAUCUGUGUUCAUGAAGAAAGUGAAGCCCGUGUACAUAGCUCGCAAGGUGUUCUGUUGAAAGCUUCACCUGAUGCUUGUCGUCAUUCUUGCGGAUUCAAGUAUGAUUAGUAUGGUACCUUUGGACUCGGAUCAGAACCACAGUGUGAAGAACCACAAAGAAUACGAAGGUUGGCGCAGAGCCGAAGCUAUGCACAGGGGAGCUUCGGUAUGAUAGCAAAAAAGGGAACCGACUUAAAAGGGAAAAGGCUAUUUAGACCUCGAUGGAUCACUAUAGAGUCAUUAGCAAAUGUAAAGGGCAUGAGUGUAAUUUUACAUGGGUUGCGUCCCGUGCCUAUAAAUAGAUGAACAGUGCUCCCGUACUGUUCACGCUAACUUG